AGUGCUGAGCCCAAGGGCCAGGCUGUCCCCAGGGGCGGAGAGUUGCGGGCCCUUCCCGAUCCGGUAAUGGGCCUGGGAGAUGCCAGAUUAGCGUGGUGCCUGUCCGGAGAGACGGGCCAGCUGAUGCCCAGGUCGGGGCCCUGUCGCUGGCCACACUGGGCUCCGGUCCAAGGCUAGAAGGCUGGCCCCUGCUGCAACCCCUCUCCGGCUCCUCUGCCACCCACCUCCCGGGGCUGGCCGGCUGUGGGGAGCCGGGCGGCCGCAGGAGGUGGCUGAUGCCCUGGGAGGGGGUGCGGACCCAGAAACCAACUCGACCAGCAACAGCAGCCACUCAGCCUGGGACCUGGGCAGCGCCUUCUUUUUCUCAGGGACCAUCAUCACCACCAUCGGUGGGGGAGGGGAUUGGCAUGUGGGGGGCGGCAAGGAGCUUCCUCAUGGGGGAAGGUGCAGGGAGACGGAGGGGUCCCAGGUGGCCCCUAGACUUCCUGCAUCGCCCCUCUGCCCAGGAUAUGGCAAUGUGGCCCUGCGCACAGAUGCCGGGCGCCUCUUCUGCAUCUUUUAUGCGCUGGUGGGGAUUCCGCUGUUUGGGAUCCUACUGGCAGGGGUCGGGGACCGGCUGGGCUCCUCCCUGCGCCAUGGCAUCGGUCACAUUGAAGCCAUCUUCUUGGUGAGCUGCUCCAUGCCCUGCCUGCCCUUGUGCUGGGCUCCGGCUACCCUUCCCCAUGUCCCUGGCACAUGAGCGCGCCCCCAAAGACCAUAAGCCUCUCCCACAGGCUCCUGGGGGCGGGAGUGGGGAGUAUGGGAGUGGGGAUUG
rnacentral:sRNA from 1 species